CUCCGUUUAGCUCAGUUUGGUAGAGUGCGCCGUUUGGGGCGGUGAGGUCGAAGGUUCAAUCCCUUCAACGGAGACCA
rnacentral:tRNA from 1 species